UUUCAUUAUGGAGAUUAACUCUCACCUGACACAGGAUAAGCGCAACAGGUGUUCAGAGGAGAAAGAGGGAUGGAGUAAGCUGAGCUGCUCAAGGAAGCAAGAAACCAAUACAGAUUCUCAGCCUUAAUCUUGAAAAAAAAAAUCACCAAAUGAAUCUCUCACUUCCUGAAGCCUAACAGAUGAUUACUGUGCUGGAGAACUAAUUUGCCUACUGAAUGAACAGUUUAUCUUGGAGAAGAAAUUGGUCACCAGAGAACCAGGAAACCCAAAAGAACCUUCUGAGGUCAUCAGAACAUAUAGGUAU
rnacentral:lncRNA from 1 species